rnacentral:rRNA from 1 species
GGCUCAGAACGAACGCUGGCGGCGUGUUCUACCAUGCAAGUCGAACGAACCUUCGGGUUAGUGGCGGACGGGUGAGUAACGCGUGACAAUCUGCCCUCAGGAGGGGGAUAACGGUUGGAAACGACCGCUAAUACCCCAUAUGCCGAGAGGUGAAAAGAAAUUCGCCUGAGGAUGAGCUCGCGUCUGAUUAGCUAGUUGGUGUGGUAAUGGCGCACCAAGGCUUCGAUCAGUAGCUGGUCUGAGAGGAUGAUCAGCCACACUGGGACUGAGACACGGCCCAGACUCCUACGGGAGGCAGCAGUGGG